AAGAAAAAUUGAAAAAAAAUAGAAUAAAAAAAAUAAAAUUGAACAAUAUUUAAGUUUAAAAGACUAAAGAAUCAUGGAAAAAUAGCCAUGAAUUCUAUGUGUUGCUUUUCCUUAACUCUGGAGUUCCAUGGUUUUCAUUGAUCAGUGAACUUGGUCUUGGCUGGAUGUUCUUGCUGAUCUUCUGGGGGAGGGGCCUGUAGCAGUGAUUCUCAAAUGUCUUUGCUGGAGGAAGACUUGCACUGCCCUUGCCAGGGGCCAGGCUAAGUAAUCUGCUUGGGUUCACACUAGGAGCUUUUGUUCCCGGAAUGGUUUCCGUACAGCUUUGGAGAAGGGAAAUGAAACUGGCAGUCUCCCAGUCUCUGGCCCAGAGGAGCCAAGAGCUCUGGGCCCACUGCUCAGUGCACCCUCAGAGAAAAGGGGUCAAUCCUUCCUGUCUCCUUGGCCUCCAGCUGCUCUCCAAGCUCACCCGACCUGUGACUGAAUGUUUCUGUCUCUGGCGCACAGCCCAUUUGGAGUCUCCAAACCCAGCAGAUUCCUUCAGUGUGCUCCCAUGCCACUCCUCCUAGAGGAGGAAGAUGUUUGAGGACAGAUGCUUGAGGACUGUUUAUUUUGUCCCGCACUACCCCCACUUUAAAGAGCCCGAGACAGCAUGGGAGUGUUUCAGGUGGAAUUCUUCGGUAAAGCUUAGGGACUCUAGAGAGAUCUCCAGUGACUUCUACCACAUGAGGACACAGUGAAAAGGCACCAUAUGCUGAAUAGAGGGACUUCAGCAGAAUACAACCAUGUUGGUGACUUAAACUUGGACUUCCCAGCCUCCAGAACUGUGAGC